AUUAUAGUAUUACGCAACAAACAUACAAAGGAGAGACAGGCACACUGCAUAAUACACACAGCGGCUCCUCGCAACACAAACACGUCGAUGGGACGCGGCUGAAGAUGCUGAGUGUUUUUAUAAGCGAUGAUCUUGUUGACUUUCACUGUCACUCAUCCAUCUGGGCGGGCGGCGUGGCGAUAUCAUAUGUCGUGGCGCACACCGGCAGCCAUCAUGUCUCCACGUGUCCACCAUACCCUCCGCCACGCUUCUUUCCGGAAACCGGUCCUCGGGCCACGCUCUCCGAGGCGAGGGUGAUAAGGCUGAUCACGUGAUGCCCACGGCCAGGUCCAGGAGUUAAAAAAGCCAGCUUGCAAAACGGGAAAACUUUUUGAAACGAAUUCGUCCACUUCCCAGGAAUGAAUUAACGUCAAAACUAAGUACUUUUCUAGUAACUGGAGGCCACAUGAUGCGUCAAGCUUGCCUGGCCCUUUUGCAAGACAAAUUCCAUCCUGCCACAAUGCGUCUGUUGUUUCAUAAUCAACGUUUUCUACUUCACGAUGAAAAUACCCAGAGCUUGGGUUGAAAUUCCUCAGGUCGGAGUCACGGAUGGGCGGGUUUAAGAUAACUGAACAGAGAGGAAUUCACAUUUUUCAUUCAUAAGCAACGUAAGAGGAUGGUAACAUUUUACGUAACUGAAGAGGGAAAAAAGUCACUGAUGUAUACUUUUAAUUCAGAAGCAGCGUAAGAAGAUGGUGAAAUUUAAGGUAACCAAAUGAAGAUCAGUGAUGCAUUUUUUCCAUCCAGGAGCGGCAAGACAAGAUUUAACGAUACAGAAAGCAAUAGGCCUAUACGAAAAACUACACUGAAUUUCCUGUCUACCUCUUUAUUUCCUCCUGUCUAUGACUUGAACUCUUUCAGGAGGAAAAUUUCAUGUCACUUCUCAUUUUUUUGAAUAAUCGUUUAAUUUAGACUGUACUAUUUGGGAACAAGCAUCUACAGUUAGGAUUUUUUUUUUUCAGGCUUUUCGUUGCCUUAUGCCUGAACCACUGCUGAAAAUACCCUCACAAGUCUCCACGUUCCAUGCAACAAAAUCGCGAUAUUCAUGGUUAUCUGGUAAGGAUCAUCUGUUUGUUGGCGGCACGACACCUCUGCGGCGGGGGAGGCGUGGCGGCAAGCAGGACAGUGACUCACGUGCACACACACAUGAUUAGUCUGAUUGUUACGAAAGGACUCAGUAAUGACAGACUUGAUGGUUAAUGAAAGAUGCUGGAUGAUAAUGACGGUGAUAGCGGUGGUGGCAGUGAUGGUGGUAGUGGUGGUGAGGCUGGGUGGCGGGAUCGCAGCUGACGAGGUGUCGCUACCAACGCAACGUCAGGGGAGGCAAAGUUUGAUGAUGGUAACCAGGCACAGCCACGGCCACUGACUGAUCACGAGGAGCGCACACCGACUGCAGGAUUGGCUGACCGAUUAGCGGCAGCAGCACCAGGGAGAGCUGAACAAGAACGUUGAGAGUCACGCCGCGAGGAGGAGGAGGAGGAGGAGGAGGAGGAGGAGGAGGAGACAGUCACACAUCAGACACACUCCUGCCCACAAAGAAUACUCGAUGGCCAACCUUCAGUCCCCCGCUGGUUCCUUUGCCUCCCAUCACUACUGGUCAGACAGGCAUGGGACCCCUACAGUCACUACGAUGGGGAAGACAGGGAAUGCGUCACUGCUUCACCAUCUUCAGCCUCUAUGAAUAUGAUUCCAGUGAAGGACAAGGAAUUUUCCCAGUGAUUACUGUGCGAUGGGUUAAGCCAGGUACACCCUCACUUUGGCUUUCAAUACCACGACCAGUUUAAUAUUAUUGCAAAUACCAUUACAAGAUUGUUUAAAGUCUGUCGUAAUGAAGGCGUUAAGACAAUCCUCACUCCUUCCCCUUCCUGCCAAUCUGCUACACAAGGAACUCAAUAUGUCACUUUUGGCAGCUAAGUCCUUUCUGUAUGAAGACUAAAUAAACAUGGAAUCGAUAAGGAAGUUUCGUCUUAAUGCAGUUGUUUAUCUACGUGACUUACUGUAAAGUCUCUUGCUCCCUUUCAUGCUGAUCUGCUACGUAAGGGUUCAACUUCGCACCUUCAACAGUCAUCUUAAGUAGGAACGAGCAUGACAUCAGCGAAGAGGUUAAAUCUUACCACAGUUCUCCCUUAACUUACUUGUAAUGCUCCCACACUCCCGUCCUUCCAUGUUAACCUGCUAUGUACUCGUAAGGAGCUCAACUUUGCACUUAUAACAGUCUUCGUGAGUGGUGACGAGCAUGACGUCGACAAAGAAGCUUAAUCUCUCCA